ACGGGUGAGUAAUGCAUCGGAACGUGCCCAGUAGUGGGGGAUAGCCCGGCGAAAGCCGGAUUAAUACCGCAUACGACCUACGGGUGAAAGGGGGGGAUCGCAAGACCUCUCGCUAUUGGAGUGGCCGAUGUCAGAUUAGGUAGUUGGUGGGGUAAAGGCCUACCAAGCCGACGAUCUGUAGCUGGUCUGAGAGGACGACCAGCCACACUGGGACUGAGACACGGCCCAGACUCCUACGGGAGGCAGCAGUGGGGAAUUUUGGACAAUGGGCGCAAGCCUGAUCCAGCCAUGCCGCGUGCGGGAAGAAGGCCUUCGGGUUGUAAACCGCUUUUGUCAGGGAAGAAAUCUUCUGAGUUAAUACCUCGGGAGGAUGACGGUACCUGAAGAAUAAGCACCGGCUAACUACGUGCCAGCAGCCGCGGUAAUACGUAGGGUGCAAGCGUUAAUCGGAAUUACUGGGCGUAAAGCGUGCGCAGGCGGUUAUGUAAGACAGAUGUGAAAUCCCCGGGCUCAACCUGGGAACUGCAUUUGUGACUGCAUAGCUUGAGUGCGGCAGAGGGGGAUGGAAUUCCGCGUGUAGCAGUGAAA
rnacentral:rRNA from 1 species